rnacentral:rRNA from 1 species
UACGAAGGGGGCUAGCGUUGUUCGGAAUUACUGGGCGUAAAGGGCGCGUAGGUGGCUUGGCAAGCGUGUGGUGAAAGCCCGGGGCUCAACCCCGGGUCUGCCGUGCGAACUGCUAUGGCUUGAGCACUGUAGAGGCAGGUAGAAUUCCGGGUGUAGCGGUGGAAUGCGUAGAGAUCCGGAAGAAUACCGGUGGCGAAGGCGGCCUGCUGGGCAGUGGCUGACACUGAGGCGCGACAGCGUGGGGAGCAAACAGG